rnacentral:rRNA from 1 species
UCCUACGGGGGGCAGCAGUAGGGAAUCUUCCACAAUGGACGCAAGUCUGAUGGAGCAACGCCGCGUGAGUGAAGAAGGUUUUCGGAUCUUAAAGCUCUUUUUUUUUUGAAGAAGUAUAUAGUUAGUAACUGGCCUAUAUUUGACGGUAAUCAACCAGAAAGUCACGGCUAACUACUUUCCAGCAGCCGCGGUAAUACGUAUGUUGCAAGCGUUGUCCGGAUUUAUUGGGCGUAAAUCUAUCUCCUUCU